UGUAGUCAGUAGUAUUGACUGUUUGGCAAGCAAGCUAAAUCGUGGUUUUGUAUUUCGACCCUUAUAUACUGUGAACAAUCAAAAUAAUUGAAAUGGCAAUGAAAUUUUUGACAAUCGAAUGCAAAAAAUACGAAAUGUAUAAAGCUGUGAAAUUUACAAACUCGCGUUUUUUACCUCUCAAAAUCCCGUGUUAAAGUGCCUAAUACGGUUUUAAACAAUCAUUGUAAACAAACAAAAAACGCCUAUUACAAGUAAAGAAAAGCAAUUACAUUUUAUGUACAUUUUUAGGUAAAUCGAACAUUUACUAAUUUUGAAAUGGUUUUGUUUGAUAGGGUCUACGAUUGCAUAUUUAUCAGGUUUUUCACAUAUUUUAUAGUUGGCUUUCUUUACGUGGAUUUGUUUUAUUAAAAUUGUGAUACAUCUUAAUGAAUUGAAUGACUAUAAAAUGCAUUUAGAUUUCAUGCAGCAGCUGUUAUUAGGCACUGCGGUUUUCUGUUGUUUAUGUGUUGUCCAUGUUAUUGUUUGCAAUCGCCAUGGCAGAUUUUGAUACUCAGGACAUACUAGCAGUUGUGAGGGAAAGCGACAGAAAGGGUAAAAACGAUGACGCAUUUUUUUUGCAUGUUGCAACCCCUGGUAAGCCACCAUCUGCAUUGCAUAGAAAAGGGUAUUCCUUAUCUGAAGGAUCAUGGCUGGAGAAAUGUCAGCUAUUAGAAAACUGGAUUCAGUAGAAGAUGGAAGAUAAACAGGCAAUUUUCAUCCGGAGAUGUUUUGGACAAUAUAGUGGCUGAGUUAGACCACGAAACCACAGAUUCAAAAUACAAAGAUGCUGAUGACGUGAUCUUUAAACGUAUGCAGGAAUUCGUCAAUGAUGUGAACGCCUAUAAUUGAAAAUAAUUAUUUGUUGAUAAAGUUCAAUACAAUGUAUCAGUUCAAUAAUCAGAAUAUAUAAGAAAUGAAAAAUAAAAUAUUUGCCAUUUAAAAAAAAAAAAUAGGCUUAAUAUAGGCAGAAUUUCCACCGUCCAUCUCGAAAGGCAAAUUUAUAUUGCUAUCUGUAAAAUAGUGAAAUAAAGGAUAAAUAAAGAGUAUUUCAUCCUAAAACAAGAGCGAUAAUCAUAGUUGCUAAUGAAACCAAUAUUUCACGUAAUUAGUGCUUCUUUUUAUGAAGUUUUGCACAAGAUGAAAGACGAUUGUGUGUUGCUUCAGUGUCUUUCCAGAUCGAGAGAUGGAAAAUAAUUUAUUUUUAUGCAAGAAUAAAAAUUGUACAAAAACGGUUCCACGAUACAUAUAAUUAUGUCUACAAAUUGUCAAUUGUUUCCAAAAUAAAAGUGUACUAGUUUGUGCAAAAAGGAGUUCUUGCAGAUAAUAUGAACCCAACUUUUAUGUAAAAUCGCAGUUGAUCACACGGACAAUAAAAAAUGAAAAAAAAACUACUUGGAAACCAAUGCAUUCGUAUAAUAUACAUGUUAUUAUAUUAAUUGAGGAUCGCCUACCAUAAUUAUCAAAGUUUCUUACUUAAACUUGUGAAUAGUUUUACUUUGCCUGCAUGGUUUUAUCUACUAAUAUUAAAAGCUUCUGUAGUCAAAUGCUACGUGUCUGUAUUUUAUGAUGACCCUUUUCGUCCGGUAUCCUUCUAAUGUUCGUUCGUAAUAGUUUUAUUUUGAUAGGUAAUUUUAAAAUAGAUAAAAUAUUAUUUUAGUAUGGCUCUUAUAUAACGUGCUUUCUUCCAUGAAAGUACGAGAAAAUGCAGAAUUUAUGAAAAGUAAAAAAAAUGGAGAUUACAACCAGAAAAUGAAUACUUCUUACAACUAUUUUUUCUCAAAGCAAGAUCACGAGAACACAAUGAGGAAAAUUGAAAAAAAAAAAUCUCCGAGCUUGACAUUAUAGUGAGUCCGAAAAUAUGAAUUUGAAAAAAAGGUUAAAGAUUAUUAACUAUUUAAAAACAUGCGCUUCCUCUAGGAAAAAAAUAUACAAUGGCUAGUGAGUAUAAAAUUGAUUCUGGAGUGACAAGAUUUAAAAUGUGUAACCUUCGGAUAACAUGGAUUACAGAAAUGAAAAAUUAGUGAUAUAUGUUCUCUUAUUGUACGUAAGUUACUCCAUAAGUUUUUUUCUUUUCUGUAAAACUUUGCUGGAAUUCUAGAUGGAGGAUGAAUAAAUCCACGAUUUAUUGGAUUGUUUUAUUGUAUGAGUGUACAAGUGGGCCCUUUUAGUAAUUUAUUUGCUUUAAUGCUCUUCAAAUAAAUGUUCAUGAACUGUGAUAAAGAUUUAGUCCAACUCUAUUGCUAACUGUAAUUUUGCUAAUAGUGCAACGAGUACUGUCCUUCACGCGGUUGGAGAGUUUUAAUUAGUAAAACUAAUCAGGAUUAUGUUGAUAAUAAAUGAAGCACAAAAAGAAUUUCUAUACAGAAAAACUUCAUCAGGGCAUAAUUCGAAACGUCGGCAAAUUACAUCGUUUUGCUAACACCGGUUUUGCUUCAUUUAUUAUCAACAUGAGUUUACCUGGUGGCAAUCAUGCACUAAUCAGGAUUAUGUUUAAACUGGGGAAACGGAGGUUUAGUUUAUUAUCAUACAAGAAUAUGUGCACGCGACAGGAAAUAUUAACGCUAUUCAAUGAAGGUUACUUUUGACCCCCUUUACGAUUUUGAAUAGCCAUUUUUAUUCUUUUACCGUCAGGUUCGGUACGGGUUCAUCAUUAUUGAGAAUCAAUAAAACAAAAGGUUUCAAAGGGUAAAUGUUGAAACGCUUCCGUACGACUCAUAUCAUUAUACGCUUUUGAAUAAAAUAAUGAAAUACGAUAUGUCUUGUCAGUUCUUCCUGGAUUAUUAUGUAUAAAAGUAAUGCAGUCGUUACUUUUAGACAUAUUUUGUUCAACUUUACUCAUAGACGAAGAAGUAAUAUCUGUUAGGAGAUAAGUAUGGAGAUGCGUGCAGCAAUGUUGAUGUUGUUGUUGGCAGUCGUAUUGAUCAGCUUCGCUGAGGCUACUUCUGAACCUACUACUAAAGAAAUUCGGCUACAGAAACUAAAACGUUUCUGGUAUAACCACCUAAAAUGGAGAAGAAAGUGGAUGCAGCAAAAUCCUGCUCCAAAAGACAGUUUGGACGAAAUUUUGACAACGUUCGACGAAGACAGUGAUGAGUUGGCAUACCAAGACACCAUGGCCGAAAAAUUGCAAAAAGUAUUCGAAGACAUUUACGAAUGAAAUGAAAUCACAACAGACACCCAAGUUUCAUAACCACAGUUUGAAAUUAUAAAUUAUUCUGUUCAACCAACAAUAAAACAUGGGAAAAUCACAGUUUUCAAUAGUGUUUCAGUUUAGAUGUCUCAAUGAAAUUUUCGAUAAAUUUCCAUUAUGUUUAUGACACUAUAAUUACUUAUUAUGACAAACGAUCUCUCUCAUUUUUCAUUUUGUAAUAUUCGGCAAAAAUAAAAUUGAA